rnacentral:rRNA from 1 species
GACGAGCGCUGGCGGCGUGCUUAACACAUGCAAGUCCAACGGAAAGACCCUGCUUUUGUGGGGUGCUCGAGUGGCGAACGGGUGAGUAACACGUGAGUAACCUGCCCUUGACUUUGGGAUAACUUCAGGAAACUGGGGCUAAUACCGGAUAGGAGCUCCUGCUGCAUGGUGGGGGUUGGAAAGUUUCGGCGGUUGGGGAUGGACUCGCGGCUUAUCAGCUUGUUGGUGGGGUAGUGGCUUACCAAGGCUUUGACGGGUAGCCGGCCUGAGAGGGUGACCGGCCACAUUGGGACUGAGAUACGGCCCAGACUCCUACGGGAGGCAGCAGUGGGGAAUAUUGCACAAUGGGCGGAAGCCUGAUGCAGCAACGCCGCGUGCGGGAUGACGGCCUUCGGGUUGUAAACCGCUUUCGCCUGUGACGAAGCGUGAGUGACGGUAAUGGGUAAAGAAGCACCGGCUAACUACGUG